rnacentral:rRNA from 1 species
AACGUAGGAGGCAAGCGUUAUCCGGAUUUACUGGGCGUAAAGGGCGUGUAGGUGGUUAGGAAAGUUGGCUGUGAAAGCUCCUGGCUCAACUGGGAGAGGUCAGUCAAAACUUCCUGACUUGAGGGUCGGAGAGGGGUGUGGAAUUCCCGGUGUAGCGGUGGAAUGCUUAGAGAUCGGGAGGAACACCAGUGGCGAAGGCGACACCCUGGCCGACAACUGACACUGAAGCGCAAAAGCGUGGGGAGCAAACAGG